AGGGUUUUGUGUGGACUCAUGGACACUCAUUCUGCAAUCUGAAAAAUAAAAAUAAAAAACCCACAGAUUUCUUAGCUGUGCAGUUCAAACAUAGCAGUUCAAAAUGAGAGAGGUUCCUGCCUGCGUUGCUGUUUGCUGAGAUCAUGGGGCUAAGUUGUUGAAAAUGAGCGAAAGGAAAAAUGCUGUAUAAGAACUUGCAGUAUCUGGAACACAGAUAAUUCCAUCUCAAAACUGUGGAUGAAGGAUUUCCAUCUGUGCUACACAACUGUGUUGCAAUCAUGAACUGAAUCCAUGAAGAUGAGAAAAAAAACAGUGCAAAAAUGCUGAAAAUUUCCAAAGCAAGAACUCCUAUUCUCCUCCAAAUGAUCACAACUUCUCUCCAGCAAGGACACAAAACUGGACACAGAAGAUUUACAAAUUGACAGAAGUAGGCUUCAGAAGUUUUAAGGAGCAGAGAGUUUAAAAGGCAAGAAAGAAGAGAGAAGAAAGAAGAAGAACUCCUGUACAGAGACAUAGAGGGGGACUACAAAGCCAAGAGAUGAGAUCCCAUGUGCAGCAGAAAAGUGGCAGCUUAUAUGAGGAGGCUGGAGGACUUGGGGUCUGAUUUGCAUAGAACUUAGGCGACGGGUUUGACCAGACAUGUCACUCACAUAUCCUGUGGAAAACCUGGCCCUCGCACACUAGCCUUUUGAUAUGCAAAUGCAGGGCUAUGUUCUACACAUGUGGGGGUAUGUGAGGGGCACCCAUGUUGCCAGGCACAUGUAGGGGCAAGGGCAAGAAAAACAGGAUGGGAAUGGCCGUGUUUGGGUGGACCCAGCUCCUAAUGUCCUUCAUUUGUAUAUCAAAAGUUGCCAGCCUAGCUCCAAGACCUAGGGCUUUCCUGCUAGACAAAAAACAUUUCUGGAGCCACUUUAAAGGAAGCAAUUUUCCAAGGACCCUUUUUUUCUCUCUAUCUGCCUAAAAUAAUUUCUUAAUAGCUCCCAUAACAUUUCCCCCUGUGAAGAUGUCACCCUAACUGCUGUUAGGGGAUUUUAGGUGACAACACUUUCUGGCUACUUGCUGGUGAAAAGGGGCAUGGAAUGUGGAACAGCAGCUAAGGUUCUUCCUGGGGUUGAUUUAAGGAUCCUCAGAAGAAUGGCAUGUCUGUGCAUGGUUCAGCUUGCAGCACCAUUUGGAGUUUGAUUGUUUCUAAGUGAGAGGAAACAAUUUGACUUAUAUUAUCGAGUAUACAAAGUUCAAAUAUUAAAACAAGACACAUAAGAAAGAGAGUGCCUAAUAAGGGGUUAACCAAUUCUAUAAAGAAGACUGGAAUUCAUUAAAGGGGGAUUGUAGCCACCCAGGGCUGAAGAUUGCUUUUUCCCAAGCCUGUCAAUGGUUCUGAUUUGAUCUUUAUGCACUUGUAGAUUUUCCUCUAGUUUAGCAGAGGUGUUAAUUCAGAAGCAGCAUGUUUCAUUUAAAAGUGCAUCACUAUACCUAAUAAAAUGUCCUAGAACACUC